rnacentral:rRNA from 1 species
UACGUAGGGGGCAAGCGUUGUCCGGAAUCAUUGGGCGUAAAGCGCGUGUAGGCGGCCCGGUAAGUCCGCUGUGAAAGUCCAGGGCUCAACCCUGGAAUGCCGGUGGAAACUAUCUGGCUAGAGUCCGGAAGAGGAGAAUGGAAUUCCUGGUGUAGCGGUGAAAUGCGCAGAUAUCAGGGAGAACACCCGUGGCGAAGGCGGUUCUCUGGGACGGUACUGACGCUGAGACGCGAAAGCGUGGGGAGCGAACAGG